AAAGUAUAGAGAAAGAUGAAAAAUUAUACUAAUAACUAUGUUGGUCAUUUAGUAGAAAAUCUUACUAUUACUAAUUGGAGGCUCCUUUUGAAGCUUCCAGGUGAAGCCAUCUAGAAUCCUAGGUGGACCCUCUAGAAAAAGAGAGAAAUCCUAAAAAUUCUCACAAAAAAGUAAAACAUCUAGCCAUCAAUCGGUAGACUCAAAUGAUCAUAGCCAUUGGAUCUAUUAUGCUUUCUAAAAAAUUAUCCACCUAUACCACUAUGAAAAUAGCCUAAGUAACCCCCUAAAUCUAUAUCUAAAUUAUCCACCUAUACCAUUAUAUAAAAUAAACUAAAGUAACCCUUAAUCUUCAUCAAAAGUACCCACUUAUAUCAUUAUAAAUAAUAUUUAAAAUAAUCCCCUAAAUUUGCAACUAAAUUGUCUACCACUGAUACUUAAAAAAUAACUUAAAGUGCAUCUAUACUACCCACAUAUGCUAUUAUUAAAAAUAACAUGAGGCAACCCUACAUUUUAAUCCAAAUCAUCUUGAUUAAAAAUAUACACAAUAUAUGAUUCUAAAUCAUCUAUUUCUUACACUGUUGAUAUAUGAUAUAAUAAUUGAGGUAUAUAGGUAUGAUGUGUGUCACCAUUUAUAAAGAUAUAGAGGAAGUGAUGGGAAUAUAAGUUUCUAUGUUAAAAUUAUAGCUCAAACUUAGGAUCCAUUAAACAAUUUCAUGUGUAUACUUGCGAUGCAAAUUGAAAAGUUGAAAAUUAUAAAUGUGGAUGAAGACAUUAUAGAGUAAUUACUAACUAAAAUCUAUUACAAUUGGAUGAAGAUAAUAAGUUUGUAUAUAUAUAAGUAUUAUGUUUGAAUAUUUAACAAAUGAGAAGUAGCUCCAGGUAAUAGUUUUGUAGCAAUGUGGCCUCAUUUUUUUCCUUGGAGACUCCGUAUUAGUUCUCACCAGACAUGCUGAAAAAAAAGAUAAAUAUUAGAAAUUCUCACAAAAAUCAGAAACAUCAAACAUCAAUCCUGUAAACUCUAAUAAUCAUAGUCAUUGGUCUAUUAUAUUUUCUAAAAAUUAACCACCACUAUCAUUAUGAAAAUAUUAUAAAAUAAACACUAAAUCUAUAUCUAAAUUACCGGGCUCUACAUUAUAAAAAAUAAUAUAAAGUAAC
rnacentral:lncRNA from 1 species